GGGUUGUGAGGUUAAGCGACUAAGCGUACACGGUGGAUGCCCUGGCAGUCAGAGGCGAUGAAGGACGUGCUAAUCUGCGAUAAGCGUCGGUAAGGUGAUAUGAACCGUUAUAACCGGCGAUUUCCGAAUGGGGAAACCCAGUGUGAUUCGUCACACUAUCAUUAACUGAAUUCAUAGGUUAAUGAGGCGAACCGGGGGAACUGAAACAUCUAAGUACCCGAGGAAAAGAAAUCAACCGAGAUUCCCCCAGUAGCGGCGAGCGAACGGGGAGGAGCCCAGAGCCUGAAUCAGUGUGUGUGUUAGUGGAAGCGUCUGGAAAGGCGCGCGAUACAGGGUGACAGCCCCGUACACAAAAAUGCACAUGCUGUGAGCUCGAUGAGUAGGGCGGGACACGUGGUAUCCUGUCUGAAUAUGGGGGGACCAUCCUCCAAGGCUAAAUACUCCUGACUGACCGAUAGUGAACCAGUACCGUGAGGGAAAGGCGAAAAGAACCCCGGCGAGGGGAGUGAAAAAGAACCUGAAACCGUGUACGUACAAGCAGUGGGAGCCUCUUUAUGGGGUGACUGCGUACCUUUUGUAUAAUGGGUCAGCGACUUAUAUUCUGUAGCAAGGUUAACCGAAUAGGGGAGCCGAAGGGAAACCGAGUCUUAACUGGGCGUUAAGUUGCAGGGUAUAGACCCGAAACCCGGUGAUCUAGCCAUGGGCAGGUUGAAGGUUGGGUAACACUAACUGGAGGACCGAACCGACUAAUGUUGAAAAAUUAGCGGAUGACUUGUGGCUGGGGGUGAAAGGCCAAUCAAACCGGGAGAUAGCUGGUUCUCCCCGAAAGCUAUUUAGGUAGCGCCUCGUGAACUCAUCUCCGGGGGUAGAGCACUGUUUCGGCAAGGGGGUCAUCCCGACUUACCAACCCGAUGCAAACUGCGAAUACCGGAGAAUGUUAUCACGGGAGACACACGGCGGGUGCUAACGUCCGUCGUGAAGAGGGAAACAACCCAGACCGCCAGCUAAGGUCCCAAAGUCAUGGUUAAGUGGGAAACGAUGUGGGAAGGCCCAGACAGCCAGGAUGUUGGCUUAGAAGCAGCCAUCAUUU
rnacentral:rRNA from 1 species